CCUACGGGAGGCAGCAGUGGGGAAUAUUGGUCAAUGGGCGGAACCCUGAACCAGCGACGCCGCGUGAGUGAAGAAGUAUUUCGGUAUGUAAAGCUUUAUUAGCAGGGGAGUAAGGUAUGACGGUACCUCACUAAGAAGUGUAGUCUAAAUAGGUGCCAGCAGCAGCGGUAAUCCGUAGGGUGCAAGCGUUAUGCGGAUUCACUGGGUGUAAAGGGAGCGUAGGUGGCGAGGCAAGUCUGAAGUGAAAGGCUGGGGCCCAACCCCCGAACUGCAUUGGACACUGGAUGGCUGGAGUGCAGGAGAGGUAGGUGGAAUUCGUAGUGUAGCGGUGAAAUGCGUAGAUAUUAGGAAGAACACCGAUGGCGAAGGCAGCUUACUAAACUGUCACUGACGUUGAGGCUCGAAAGCGUGGGGAGCAAACAGGAUUAGAUACCCCAGUAGUC
rnacentral:rRNA from 1 species